GAAAAUUUAGCUUCUUCGACCUCGAGUUUAUCUCCGGGUUCUAUAGCAUUGCCUAUUGUUGGUAAUUUCUCAAUGCAAAGUUUGAAAAGGGCAAAGGUAUCAUCUUCUCAUACUUCAACUACAAGUUCUAAUGAUUUACAAAUGUAUUAUGAUUUACCAACUAUUGAAGUUGAUGAUGAUAAUCAAUUUAGUGUCUUGUCUUGGUGGAAAUCAAAUCAAUCAUUAUACCCUGUGGUUUCUCUCAUGGCUAGAGAUUUACUAACAAUUCCAGCUUCUACUGUAGCGUCAGAGUCUUGUUUUAGUGCAGGAGGUAGGAUUGUGUCCGAGAGAAGGGCUAGCUUGAGUCCAAAUACAAUAGAGGCAUUGAUUUGCUUGAAGGAUUGGAGUUUAGCAAAAUCAAGGAUGCAAGAGGCUCAUCGUGAAAUGCAGCUAGCUGAAGAAAGGAGGCUCAUUAGGGAAGGAUGACCAGAUUGGAUGGAAAAUAGUGAAGAUGAAGCUGAAAAUGAAGCUGAAAAUGAAUCUGAUAAUGAUUCUGAAAAUGAGUCCCAUGAACAGGUACCAAGAUCAGUUGAAUCCCAUGAGUUAUCAACGAAUCUGCAGCCUUAAAUUUUCAAGGGCUGUACCAACUAUGGAGGGUUGCUGGCAGAUUCUAAGUGAGCCUCAAUGAUACCAAGUUUGAAUGGAAGAGAAUAUGCCUAAUUAGA